GCACUACUGAGGAGUCUCAGAAUAUGACGAAACGACCGUCCAGUGC
rfam:Schistosoma curassoni strain Dakar, Senegal genome assembly, scaffold: SCTD_scaffold0002339